GCUAGGUAGCUCAGUUGGUAGAGCAACGGACUGAAAAUCCGUGUGUCGCCGGUUCGAUCCCGGCCUUGGCC
rnacentral:tRNA from 1 species